rnacentral:rRNA from 1 species
CGUUGUCCGGAUUAUUGGGCGUAAAGAGCUUGUAGGCGGUUUGUCGCGUCUGCUGUGAAAGGCCGGGGCUUAACUCCGUGUAUUGCAGUGGGUACGGGCAGACUAGAGUGCAGUAGGGGAGACUGGAAUUCCUGGUGUAGCGGUGGAAUGCGCAGAUAUCAGGAGGAACACCGAUGGCGAAGGCAGGUCUCUGGGCUGUAACUGACGCUGAGAAGCGAAAGCAUGGGGAGCGAACAGGAUUAGAUACCCUGGUAGUCCAUGCUGUAAACGUUGGGCACUAGGUGUGGGGGACAUUCCACGUUUUCCGCGCCGUAGCUAACGCAUUAAGUGCCCCGCCUGGGGAGUACGGCCGCAAGGCUAAAACUCAAAGAAAUUGACGGGGGCCCGCACAAGCGGCGGAGCAUGCGGAUUAAUUCGAUGCAACGCGAAGAACCUUACCAAGGCUUGACAUAUACUGGACCGCAUCAGAGAUGGUGUUUCCCUUCGGGGCUGGUAUACAGGUGGUGCAUGGUUGUCGUCAGCUCGUGUCGUGAG